rnacentral:tRNA from 1 species
GCGGCAGUAGCUCAGUUGGCAGAGCACCGGCUUCCCAAGCCGGUUGUCGCGGGUUCGACUCCCGUCUGCCGCU